GUGGGGAAUCUUGCGCAAUGGGCGAAAGCCUGACGCAGCCAUGCCGCGUGAAUGAUGAAGGUCUUAGGAUUGUAAAAUUCUUUCACCGGGGACGAUAAUGACGGUACCCGGAGAAGAAGCCCCGGCUAACUUCGUGUCAGCAGCCGCGGUAAUACGAAGGGGGCUAGCGUUGCUCGGAAUUACUGGGCGUAAAGGGCGCGUAGGCGGACAGUUUAGUCAGAGGUGAAAGCCCAGGGCUCAACCUUGGAAUUGCCUUUGAUACUGGCUGUCUUGAGUACGGGAGAGGUGAGUGGAACUCCGAGUGUAGAGGUGAAAUUCGUAGAUAUUCGGAAGAACACCAGUGGCGAAGGCGACUCACUGGCCCGUUACUGACGCUGAGGCGCGAAAGCGUGGGGAGCAAACAGGAUUAGAUACCCCAGUAGUCC
rnacentral:rRNA from 1 species